CUAGGCUAUACCAUUCAUUCAUCACACUAUGUUUCCAUACUUUCACAGGGGCAUAUGUUCCUUGUAUGUGCAAUUGUAUUAUACUUAUUUGUUUAUGUGCUGCAAAAUUACAUAAACACUUUUAAGUUUGAAAAAAAUUGCACAAAAUUAUUACACCACAGAAUGUAUGUAACAAGUAUCAUGGAAAAAAAAAUUAUGCCGC
rnacentral:lncRNA from 1 species